rnacentral:rRNA from 1 species
GACCCGUCCUGAAACACGGACCAAGGAGUCUAACGUGUGUGCGAGUCGUUGGGUUCCGUGCCGGGGCCCCUAGUGACCCCGGUGCGAGCCGAGACUAAACCCGAAGGCGAAAAGAAAUUGAAAACGAGUCCAGCACUCGUCGAGGGAAGAUGGCGACGGAUCCGGCCCGUUAAGGGUUCUGAGCAGAUCGGCCCGCAUUCCCGGGGUGCCUCGAUUGCCGCUUGCGACAAGAGGUGCGCCCAGAGCACACACGCUAGGACCCGAAAGAUGGUGAACUAUGCCUGGCCAGGACGAAGUCAGGGGAAACCCUGAUGGAGGUCCGAAACGAUUCUGACGUGCAAAUCGAUCGUCUGAGCUGGGUAU